UUAAACGGCCAUAGCGCCGGGGCCACACCCGAUCCCAUCCCGAACUCGGUAGUUAAGCCCUUAGUAGCACAGGCCUCUGGCCUGUGGGCCGAUGGUA
rnacentral:rRNA from 1 species